rnacentral:misc_RNA from 1 species
GGUGACAAAGAAAAGUGUGGGUGUAGCUACGCGCUCACUGAGCAUGACUGGAUCAGUAAUUUCAGCUUACUCGCCUGUUCGGCAUGCUCAGCCCUAACAGGAUCUAGACAAGGCAUCGGAUUGACCCACGAUGCAAUGAAGUCUAUGUAUGUGGAUAUCCCUGUAUGCCCUGGAUAUUUAUACAUCUUUUUGGCUUUUCACAACUUGUCAAAACUGAUGACUGCUAUGAUAGUGUUUGUUA